rnacentral:tRNA from 1 species
GCCAAUUGUUGGCUGGCGGUUUCCGCUUCCUGGCUGUUGGUGGCGGCCGGGUAUCGACGGAUUUGCUGGCUCGGGGCCGGGCGGCUGGUU